CAGGGCGGGUAGUGGUGGAUCGCCAUGCUCUGCCGCCUCCCUGUGAAGGCGCCGACAAGCGCCUCCCGCUCCACCCCGAGGUCGGCCGCCAUGAAGCCCAGGAGCUUCGUCGCGAGACCGAUCAUCUCCACCGAGUGGAGAAAAAAAUGAGAGACAGAAAAAGGACUCAGGAAGAGCACACGAAGUGGAGCUGCUUAAGACUCUGAGCUGUAGCUGCUCUCCUCUUUAUAGACACACCGGUCAAAAUGAGAAUUUACAAGGCAUGGCUCUACAGUACAA